CGGAUUGUAGUCUGCAACCCGACUACAUGAAGCCGGAAUCGCUAGUAAUCGCGGAUCAGAAUGCCGCGGUGAAUACGUUCCCGGGUCUUGUACACACCGCCCGUCACACCAUGGGAGUCGGGAAUGCCCGAAGUCAGUGACCCAACCCAAGGGAGGGAGCUGCCGAAGGCAGGCCUGGUGACUGGGGUGAAGUCGUAACAAGGUACC
rnacentral:rRNA from 1 species